rnacentral:lncRNA from 1 species
CUCCAGACCCCGGGCUGCCAGGAUUAUGCAGUCCACUUGGUCUACCUUAAUUUAACCUGUGGCCAAACUCAGAGAUGGUACCAGCCAGGGGCAAGCAUGACCAGAGCCAGGGACCCUGUGGCUCUGAUCCCCCAUUUAUCCACCCCAUGUGCCUCAGGACUAGAGUGAGCAAUCAUACCUUAUAAAUGACUUUUGUGCCUUUCUGCUCCAGUCUCAAAAUUUCCUACACCUGCCAGUUCUUUACAUUUUUCCAAGGAAAGGAAAACGGAAGCAGGGUUCUUGCCUGGUAGCUCCAGGACCCAGCUCUGCAGGCACCCAAAGACCCUCUGUGCCCAGCCUCUUCCUUGAGUUCUCGGAACCUCCUCCCUAAUUCUCCCUUCCUUCCCCACAAGGCCUUUGAGGUUGUGAC